UCUUAUAUUAUAAUGAAUAUAUUGAUAUGGUGUUUCUGACGUUGUUUGAGUUUUCGAAUGACGUCAGAUGCUGCACAAGUUAGAUGACGAACUACGACACGAUGAUCGCGUAGGUAGGUAAAUACGGUGACGUUAACAGAGCAAAGCAAGGCAAGGCGAUGCAAGGCAAGGCGAUGCAAGGCAAAGCAAAACAAGACGAUACGAGACAAGACAAAGCAAGGUAAGACAAGGCAACACAAGACAAGUCGAAGAAAGUUAAAAGAAGGCAAGGAAACAGAAGGCAACGGUGGACUCAAGAGGAGGAAGAAAUAGCAGGAAUCUUGUUUCGUUGGCUUCUGGUUGGCCAGUUCUUUCCAGCACUUUGCAACGUCAACUUCGCGACCAGCAGCGUGCCAGUCGUGCCAGAGAUGGAGACACCUUAUCCGCUUGCAACUUCCUCUUUGAAAAUCAUUCAAAGGGAAUGACAGUGACCCACUUGCCGGUUUCAGGUGCGCGACUCGUCAAGGAUAUUCCAAUUUACAAUCUUACACAGUUAUACAUAUAUCAACUAUUUACACGCUUGUGAUUGUAUCUUUGUUUUACGUGAUCAACUCGACUCCUGUUCUGUUAUGUGUAAUUAUUAUUUCGGAGAUUAAACAAACGAAGGAAGAGCAUGAAAUUUUAGCUACAUCAGUAAUCGGACACCGCGCGCUCACAUGGCUAAAUCUUCUGCGAUGUACUUAUACUACCAAGAUAAGUAUUUUCAAUGAUUUUGCUGCACUUUCAAAAUUACGCUUAUUUACAUUUUUUUAAACAACUUCUCGCAUUUACUAUAUGUGAUACGUUUUUAAGAUAAGGUUCCUUUACUAGCAAUAAUACAAAUUAUCUGCCCAACAUAUUAUUGUAUCCAAAAUAGGUGUAAAAACGUUUGCGUCAAUUUACUCGACUUAUUAUCGUGACGCGCCAGAUUUAGCAAGAACACUUGUUUCAAUAAAGUAUACGUCACUCGGUAAUUCUAAUUUUUACGCUGACGUUAUUUAAAAUCACUUCGUGCUAUACGUUUGUUUUUUCCGUGUAAACGAUGCUGUUCCUAUACAGUGAGUCGCUCGUAUAAUCUGUAUGUGGAGUGUUUUUAAUGUACAGGAAUUCAUAUAGGAUUGCAACGUAAUCGAAAUUUGUGCCAGUUGCUUCUGUCGACACGUUCUACUUCAGCUCUUCCACAUCCUUUCUGUAACCGGGCUAUGAAAGUCGAUUAUCCUCUAUAGAAUUCUUUUAACACUAGAAAUGCCAGAACUUCCGUUUUUUCGUUUUUCCUUUAGUUAUACUCUUUUUGCACCUUGAUAUAAAACAAUCACACUAGAGAACCAUUUAACAUUAUUUUAAAUAAAACAGAAAGACAGUACCAGUUGUAUUUUAUAAUUUUAUGUAUUCUACUUUUUAUUCGAAUAAAUAUUUCUUAAAAU